UACGAAGGGGGCUAGCGUUGUUCGGAAUUACUGGGCGUAAAGGGCGCGUAGGCGGCCUGUUUAGUCAGAAGUGAAAGCCCCGGGCUCAACCUGGGAAUAGCUUUUGAUACUGGCAGGCUUGAGUUCCGGAGAGGAUGGUGGAAUUCCCAGUGUAGAGGUGAAAUUCGUAGAUAUUGGGAAGAACACCGGUGGCGAAGGCGGCCAUCUGGACGGACACUGACGCUGAGGCGCGAAGGCGUGGGGAGCGAACAGG
rnacentral:rRNA from 1 species